rnacentral:misc_RNA from 1 species
GUGUUUGGUUUGGAAAAAAAAAUAGAUUUCAAUUUCAGAAAUUUUAUUCCAUGGAGUUGAUUAUAACUAACGCCAAUUCUUAUCGAAUUGGAUGGAAUUUGAGAUGAAUGAAUUAAUAUCUUUUCAACUAAAAUGACAUUAUCAAAAAACUUUUCUCUCAAUCAUAUUCACUUUCUACUUAUUUCACCUUCUACUUCUUAAAGGACAAUGAACAUUUGUUGAAAGGUUUUUUUUUUUUUUUUU